CUCCAUUGUCCUCUGAACUUGGUAACUGGAGCCAAAGGAGGGGCACUUCCAAAAUCUCACCUGAAUCGAAGCUUCUCAGCGGAUUUGACUUUUGUUAAAGUUUGAUGCAGGGCCUGCACCUGAAUUCCGGAUCCAGAAUGUACACUAGGGUCCCUGGGCGACGGGUCAGCAUCUGCGGCUCAGCGGAGCUGGCGGCUCGCCCUGCCAGAGCUGCGCACACGCGCCAGGCGGACCUGAGGUCAGGCCCCACGCUGGGUCCCUGAGGGGCAGGCUCUUGCAGGGCACAGCAGUCUACAUGCACUAAGCAUAAAAGUGUAAAGUCAGCCAUUUUAUAAAAGAAUCUCCCUGUAAA